AAGACUUGCAGUAAUCCUAUUAUUUUAAAUAGUAAAAGUUUCACAUCAAAAUUAUGAUAUCUUUUUUUAUAGGUUACUUGAUUAUUUUUGCUAAUUAAUUAUCUGAUUAGAUCGUAGAGAUUAUUGUUAUUUUGUGAUAUCUCCUUUAAUUUAUAUAUAAAAAAAAAAGUUUGUGAUAUAAUUAUCCAAGAUUUCAAUUUUUUCCAACAAAGUGAUAUCAGAGUC
rnacentral:lncRNA from 1 species